rnacentral:rRNA from 1 species
AUGUGUGUCUCAAAAAGCCAAGGCAGAAUGGGUUUUCGUGAUAUAUAUUGUUUUAAUUUGGCAAUGCUGGCUAAACAAGCUUGGUGUCUUCUUGAGAAUCCAGACUCCUUGUGUGCUGCCAUUUUGGGAGCAAAGUAUUUUCCUUAUGGAGACUCAUUGAAUGCGAAGUUAAAAAAAGGAUCAUCCUUCACAUGGCAAAGUAUCAUGGCAGGUGUUAAUACCUUAAAAAAUGGCUAUAUCUGGCAAGUGGGAAAUGGUCAAAAUAUUGAUAUUUGGGAAGAUGCCUGGAUCCCAAACCGUGCUAAUAGAAAGGUCAUCACUCCAAAGGGGCAACAUUUGUUGUAAAUAGUGUCCGAAUUAAUUCACCCAUAUUCAAACAAAUGGAAUGAGGAUCUUAUCAGCCAGACCUUGUGGCCCGUUGAUGCACAACAGGUCCUUGCUAUCCCUCUGCCUCAGUUUGAUAUGUCAGAUUUUGUUGCCUAGAGUCAUACUGAGAGUGGGAGUUUUUUUGUUCGAUCUGCAUAUUUUGUCGAAUGGGAUCAUCAACAUGGAAGGAAACUUCGUCAUACAAAUGUAAUGGGUCGAACUAAUUUUAAUCCCAUUUGGGGUAAGAUUUGGAAUUUAUCUUGUCCAGCGAAGGUGAUUUUUUUAUUUGGCAGACACUACACAACACUCUCUCGUGUCGUGUUACGCUCGUCAAUAGACACAUGA